AUAUCAAUUUAUUAUUAAUAUCAAAUUAUUAAUAUCAACCGAUUUAUAAUAUCACAUUAAUUUAUAUACCACAUUUAUGAAACUGUUUAUUUUAUUAUUUAUUUUAUCAAAAUUCGAUUCAUUUAAUAGCUUUUACAACUGCAAUUUUCUUUAAAAUAUUACAAACUUGCAUAAUUCAAAUAUGUAUAUAUAUUAACAGUUACAGUCACGUCCCC